UAGCUCAGUUGGUUAGAGAGUGAUGCUGAUAACGCCAAGGUCACAGGUUCAAUCCCUGU
rnacentral:tRNA from 1 species